GCCUCUUUUUCCAGGAUUGGGAUCUAACGUUCCAACAAAACUUUCCAGCUCAACUUCUCUACCAACAGAAUCUUUAAGUUUUCAGAGUGACUUCUCCUUCAAAGAAAAGACCAAUUUGGUCAAAAGUGUUUCAGACACAGAUGCCAAACUUCUGGUCGUUCUUCCAAAGGUAUCAGAGUUGAAAAAAUACUUUGAGAGAGCAAUCUCCAAGGAUCUGGAAAUGAACAGG